rnacentral:rRNA from 1 species
CUACGGGCGGCAGCAGUGGGGAAUAUUGCACAAUGGGCGCAAGCCUGAUGCAGCCAUGCCGCGUGUAUGAAGAAGGCCUUCGGGUUGUAAAGUACUUUCAGCGGGGAGGAAGGGAGUAAAGUUAAUACCUUUGCUCAUUGACGUUACCCGCAGAAGAAGCACCGGCUAACUCCGUGCCAGCAGCCGCGGUAAUACGGAGGGUGCAAGCGUUAAUCGGAAUGACUGGGCGUAAAGCGCACGCAGGCGGUUUGUUAAGUCAGAUGUGAAAUCCCCGGGCUCAACCUGGGAACUGCAUCUGGUACUGGCAAGCUUGAGUCUCGUAGAGGGGGGUAGAAUUCCAGGUGUAGCGGUGAAAUGCGUAGAGAUCUGGAGGAAUACCGGUGGCGAAGGCGGCCCCCUGGACGAAGACUGACGCUCAGGUGCGAAAGCGUGGGGAGCAAACAGGAUUAGAUACCCCAGUAGUC